UACAGAGGCCCCAAGCGUUAUCCGGAAUCACUGGGCGUAAAGGGUGUGCAGGUGGUCAUGUUAGUCUUCUGUUAAAUUCUUCGGCUCAACCGGGGGCAUGCGGGAGAAACGGCAUGACUAGAGUGUACGAGAGGUGCGCGGAACUCAUGGAGUAGGGGUGAAAUCCGUUGAUAUCAUGGGGAACACCAAAAGCGAAGGCAGCGCACUGGCGUAUUACUGACACUUAGACACGAAAGCGUAGGUAGCGAAUGGG
rnacentral:misc_RNA from 1 species